AGAGGCUAGACUGUUUGAGGUCUGGUCGCUACACUCGACACGGCGAUGCAACAACAAAUUCAACAAAGCAAAACACCAAACAGAAAAUUGCAAAAGGCUCAGAUUGGUUCGGAUAGGAUGAACCAACCCUAAUUUUUUGUGGCUUUUCCGUGGACUAUAGGUAUGAAGAACAGAUGCGAUCUAAACUACGAAAAACUGGUAAAAUCUCACC
rnacentral:lncRNA from 1 species